rnacentral:rRNA from 1 species
UGAGCAAUCUGCCCUUCUCAUCGGAAUAAGCGUUGGAAACGACGUCUAAUGCCGAAUACGACCUCCUUUCGCAUGAUCGGAGGUUGGAAAGCUCCGGCGGAGAAGG